UGGGGAAGUAUUGGACAAUGGGCGAAAGCCUGAUCCAGCCAUGCCGCGUGAGUGACGAAGGCCUUAGGGUUGUAAAGCUCUUUUGGCGGGGAAGAUAAUGACGGUACCCGCAGAAUAAGCUCCGGCUAACUUCGUGCCAGCAGCCGCGGUAAUACGAAGGGAGCUAGCGUUGUUCGGAAUCACUGGGCGUAAAGCGCACGUAGGCGGAUUGUUUAGUCAGGGGUGAAAUCCCGGAGCUCAACUUCGGAACUGCCUUUGAUACUGGCAAUCUCGAGUCCGAUAGAGGUGGGUGGAAUUCCUAGUGUAGAGGUGAAAUUCGUAGAUAUUAGGAAGAACACCGGUGGCGAAGGCGGCCCACUGGAUCGGUACUGACGCUGAGGUGCGAAAGCGUGGGGAGCAAACAGGAUUAGAUACCCUAGUAG
rnacentral:rRNA from 1 species